rnacentral:rRNA from 1 species
GACGAACGCUGGCGGCGUGCUUAACACAUGCAAGUCGAACGGUAAGGCCCUUCGGGGUACACGAGUGGCGAACGGGUGAGUAACACGUGGGUGAUCUGCCCUGCGCUUCGGGAUAAGCCUGGGAAACUGGGUCUAAUACCAGAUAGGACCACUGCCUGCAUGGGUGGUGGUGGAAAGCUUUUGCGGUGUGGGAUGGGCCCGCGGCCUAUCAGCUUGUUGGUGGGGUGAUGGCCUACCAAGGCGACGACGGGUAGCCGGCCUGAGAGGGUGACCGGCCACACUGGGACUGAGAUACGGCCCAGACUCCUACGGGAGGCAGCAGUGGGGAAUAUUGCACAAUGGGCGCAAGCCUGAUGCAGCGACGCCGCGUGAGGGAUGACGGCCUUCGGGUUGUAAACCUCUUUCAGCACCGACGAAGCGCAAGUGACGGUAGGUGCAGAAGAAGGACCGGCCAACUACGUGCCAGCAGCCGCCGUAACAC